rnacentral:lncRNA from 1 species
AACUUUCAUUUGCACACAUGUAUCUUCGUGUCCAUCACAAACGAGAUCUCCUCAGCAGAUGAGCGUGCCUCCUGGUCAGGGCGAGCAGAUUUGGAACUGAAGGUGUGCUGUUGUCGCCAGUGAACUGCCAUUUGGAGAAGAAGACAAGAAAGGAAGAACCCCCCCCCCCCCCCCCCACUCAACUGAAGAUAUUGUAAGUGCUCAUUGAAUCUAUUAUGUAACCCAUUUACAGCAUGCUACACAAUCCUAAGUUCCAAAUCCCCCCCCCCCCCCCCAAUUGUGU